UGAAAUCCAGGUGUUUAUAUUUCUUUUCUAGGGAAGAGGGAAUUGGGAAGUGUAGGCAACUGGGAGAGAAUAGAUGAGAAUAGAAGUGCAUCCUCAAGAGAACAGGGAAAGCUGCACCUGUGCACAUUACAAGAGCAUGAGCUACACUUUGCUUCACUUAUUUUUUGAGGGCUUCCCUGACAAUGGCACUGAUGUGACUCCAUCCAGCAUCCAUUGUUGUGAGAACUCUAUUUGGCAUAUCAUCGUUGUGAACAUGAACAAAAUGGAGACUUUCAUAGGAUGCAAUGGUUAACAUUCAAUGUUAGUCAAAAUUUGUUGUAGUCCUAACCUGGGAACUCUACUUGGUUGGAAAAAUAUUAUAGGUAAUGGCAAGCAUUUGGUAGAGUUUUAAAAUAAAGAAUACAAAGAAAUUUUCUUAGCAAGAGCAUCAACUAUAUGUGGUGCACAAUGCCAUUUUUGUAUGGAACGUAACAAAGAUUAUUUAAAUGUAUAUGAAUACUAUAUAUAUUUGUAGCCAAUAUUUUAUCAAAUAAAUGUAUUUUCACUUCUAUGUAUAUUAUAUACAUAUAUGCACAUUUUUCCAUAAAGUAAAUUUUAAUUUUUUAUACUGAAAUACUAAUUAGUUUUAAUUUUGACUUCUAUUUUCCCUUAAUAACUUCAUAAUUUCAUUACUAAAUGUUCACAUUUUACCACCAAUUUAAGAAAAUAUAUUUGUGUAUAUAUAGGUAGAGGUAUAAAUACUGUAUUAAGAAGCU
rnacentral:lncRNA from 1 species